rnacentral:rRNA from 1 species
AGUGAACGCUGGCGGUAGGCCUAACACAUGCAAGUCGAACGGCAGCACAGUAAGAGCUUGCUCUUACGGGUGGCGAGUGGCGGACGGGUGAGGAAUACAUCGGAAUCUACUUUUUCGUGGGGGAUAACGUAGGGAAACUUACGCUAAUACCGCAUACGACCUACGGGUGAAAGCAGGGGAUCUUCGGACCUUGCGCGAUUGAAUGAGCCGAUGUCGGAUUAGCUAGUUGGCGGGGUAAAGGCCCACCAAGGCGACGAUCCGUAGCUGGUCUGAGAGGAUGGUAAGCCACACUGGAACUGAGACACGGUCCAUACUCCUACGGGAGGCAGCAGUGGGGAAUAUUGGACAAUGGGCGCAAGCCUGAUCCAGCCAUACCGCGUGGGUGAAGAAGGCCUUCGGGUUGUAAAGCCCUUUUGUUGGGAAAGAAAAGCAGCAGGUUAAUACCCCGCUGUUCUGACGGUACCCAAAGAAUAAGCACCGGCUAACUUCGUG